CUGCCCCCCCCCCCGGUGGCCAGGCCCCCCCAGCCAGGGCAGGCAGGCCCCCGCAGGCUCCCAGUCGGCAGCUCUCUGAGGCAUGGCGGGAAGCUUUCCUUGUGCGAUUCAUGACCUGGCUCUCCUCUGCCCAGUCCUCCCUGCUGAGCCGACUCCCUAGAGUCACUCCCAGCAACACUGUCGCAUGCAAGUACUGGUUUCAGAGUCUACUUACCGGGAAACUGAGGUGACAGAAUGAGGGCUCAGCUUUCCGUACCAGAAGGCCGCGGGCCGGGCCUUGCCCUGGGUCUGGGAGUGCCUCUGACGCAGGAGAGACCCUGAGUCCAGGAGAGUCCUGAGACAUUGCCAGAGAAGGAGUCGCGGAAGGCCUCAGGAGGAAGUGGGGUGGAAACACCCGAAGGAAAGAAGGUGGAUACACCUACAAAGCCCCCUUCCAGCUGGGCCUGGGCCGUGUGCCUGAGGACAGGGGUUGCCAGGAAUCCACAGAAAGGCCCCGGCCAUCCAUCCACCACACAGACCAAGGGAGCUCCGGAGGGACCCGCUGGCCCUGAGGACGCGGAGCGGGCAGUCAUUCCAGCAGUCAGGAGCUCCAAGCUGCUGGGACCCACUGCAGCCCGUCCAGCCAUGACAGGGAGGGCGGGCAGCUCCUUCCUCCCUGCUCGCUUCUCAGCCCAGAACCCGAGCUCUGGGGCUGACCAGUGCCACAGUGAGAGCCUUGCUCCCAUUUCACACCACGGCCACUCCAGUGCCCCCAGGCUUCCCUCAAAUUUAGGUGGAGCCUAAAUUGGGGCCAGUCUUAGUUCCAAAUUGGAAAGAUGGGAUGAGAGAGGCCAGAGGGUGUAUUUAAGCUUUAAGAAAACCUGAAAAGUGAAAUUUUUACUCUGGAGGUGCCCAGACAUGGCAUGAUUAAACGACCUGCAAGUGUUCCCAGGUCAUGUGAAACCCACAGGACUCAGGAAAAAAGCCUCCAAGGUCCAGGGGCUGGCGCCACCCUGCGCCGUGGAGACGCUGUAUCCGACCUCAGGGUCUGGGCAGGGUGUUCACAGCUCUGUCCGGGCUCUUCCUGUGGCACGCUGGACAGUCUGCAUUUGUCAAGGGCUGAUUUUGCAGCAGGCGUUCUCCUGAGAUUUUACCUAAGCACCUGAUCCUCACAGCAAUGAGAAGCCUGGGGCACCAACAGGUCACACGGCCAGGAAGAGGCAGCUUACACAGCUGCAAUAAAAAUCAAAUAAGCCAGACGUCUUCAAAAUGUGCAGUCUUUGUGUAGCAAGAACAUUCUCAAGAAAGUGAAAAGACACCAAGAAUGGGGCAACCUGCAGAUCACGUGUGAGAAGGGGUAAGUGUGUAGACUACAGGGAGAACCCUUGUAGCCCAACACCAAGUGUCAGGAGCUGCCCUGGGUGCAGAUGCCUUUAGGUCCUGAUGCACCUGGUUCUGGACUAUUAUUGCCUUCUGUCUGGCAUGGCAGGGCCAGGUCACGGUAACUUGGGCGUUACCCCAACUCAGAUAACAAGGUGUGGCUCCGGGAGUAGGGUCACCCGCUGGGGCUGAGUUACACUCACCUGUUCCUUUGGGAUCCUACCCUUUUUGGGGUAGAAUGUUCCAUGGAAGCUCCCCUUGUGUGUCCCCUGUCUGAGAACAAAGAAUCCCAGUGGCUCUCUCUCUUUCCACGGACUCCUAAGGUCGGAGAGUCCUCACGGGUUUGAAAAGGUACUUCUGUGAGUUUGUGCGCUUUCUUCACCGUUUUCUUAAGUUAUUGGAAUAGUCGGAUUUGGGAACCCAGCGUAGGUCAAUAGCUGGGACAGAUGGCAAUAACCAGGGAGACAGACAACCGGAUGUUCACAGGUGGCAAAGAGACAUUUCUCCAAAGACACAAUCCACCAGGAAGCACGUGAAAAGGCCUCAGCGAGGUUCCUCAUCCAGAUGAAGAUGCAAAGCAGAGCCGCAGUGAGGUGCCGCGAGGACCCGGUGAUCCCAGACGUGGAGGAGGAGGAGGAGCUGGAACUCGGGCCGGGGAGCAUCCACCGCUGUGCGAAGGCUUGGUGAGUCUUCAGAAACAGAACUUCCAGGUUCACACUGCAGAGCAUUGAAAAAAGUACUCCAAACCUCAUUCACGAUUUUUCUUGGCAUCAUUAUUGACAACAACCCCAAAGUGGAGUGACCCCAUGUCCACCAGAGAAUGAGGGGUUAGCAGACUGUGCCAUAUGCAUGCCAUGGGAUAGCCUUCUGUCGCGAAAAGGCGGGGAGCGCGGCGGGGGUGCCCCUUGGAAGCAGGAUGUGAGGGGCGAAGCCCAUCACAAGAGGUCGCACAUGAGCUAGAGAGCCGUUGUCACCAGGGGGUGAGAGUAAAGGGGGAGGACAGGGCGGGCUUUGUGGCUGUGGGGUUUCAUUUGGGGACAGGUGAGUUUGGGGACUAGCUACACGUGGGGGUCGCACAACAUGGUGAGUGUGCUAAAUUCUGCUGAGCUCUUGACUUCAAAGUGACUGCUGGUCUGUGAAUUUCAUCUCAACCAAGGAAAAACUUUAUUCUCCAAACAAGGGGAAAAACAAAAGGGCUCAGAAUCAGGAAAACCCCGGCUUCUUGAGUUCACAAACACUGCUCUGGCCCCCUUGGAGAGUGGAGAUGGGGAUGGAGAGAGGUGGGAGGGACACACCUGGGCGGCGCUGCAGCCGUCCAGGUGGUGGGCAGGUGGGCUCAGUCACCAGAGCCAGGAAAGGGCCCGGAGGAGCCAUAGGCGGAAGAAUCAGCCAGGUGAAGUGUCUGAGGAGGGUGAAUUAGCAGUCCCUCCUGGCCUCCCCUCUGCUGGGGACCGAGCUGGGCCUGGAGCAUCUAGGUGCCUCCCCUCGGCCGCCCCAGUCCCAGCCCCAGCCCCAGCCCCAUCACACUGCGUUGCCAAAUAUGGGAGAAGAAUGAGGGGGUGGGUGGUUUAUUUUUAGGCUUGAGGUCUAAAGGCCUCCACUCAAGUGCAGCCUCAAGCGAGAAGCUGAAAACACAAGUUUAAGAGCUGUUCUUCCUCCUGACACUAAUGAGGCCUUGGGAGGGGAUGAGUGGAAACAGCAGGCCCCACGAGAGGGCCCCGUGGUGAGCGUUUCUGAGAAGUGGGGCCUGCUGGGCUUGGACGGUGGGCAGUUGUCGGCCUUUGCACAGAAGGUGGAACGAGAGCCGCAGUCAUUAGGCGCCAUUAAGAGCCAUCAGGCUCAAGAGUGGGAGUCGUGGUCUCCUGGCUCCCAGCAAACUGCAGACGGCCCAGCCCCCAAGGUCACGCAGCCCCUGUGCUGAUGCCCUGCUGGAGGUUGGACCUGCCACCGCAGAGGCCCCAUCCCUCUUCUCGGUGCCCCCGUGCCCUCGGCUCUGGCUUUCACAUCGGGGGAAGCAGGUCUGGGGCCGCAGGACGGUGUGGGGAGCCUUUCCACUCUCCCUCCUCGUUUCUCCCGGGGGGCUUUCCUCUCCAUCUCUCCCACGCCCGACAGAGGCAGACCCUCCUCCCAGGUCGGGUCCGGGAACUAUGGGCAGCUCAGCUCUGGUCCCAGGACUUGGUCGACAGGAACCCAUUCAGUUUCAUCUAUCCCCAUUCCAGGGCUAGGGCAAAGGCCCCCAUCAAUUAAGUGCUAUUAAAUGUUCAAAAUCCAGCCCUCCCAGGGGGGAAAAUCAAGGACCUGAUUUGCAGCAUUUGCUAAUUUCUAUAUUGAAUAUAUUCCAACAUGGCCAAGUUCAAGCCAGUGCAAGGCCACUGAAUUCGGACAUAGGAAGAAAUGUGCAGAAUCUUCUCUAGCAAGCUGGGGCAAAGUGCCCCUGUUCCCACCUGCCAACCUGUUCCCAGAAAUAGACCGUGCUUUUUAUUCUGAACUACUCCCUCCAGAAUUCACUGAUGGGCAUGGCUUAAGAAGUGUGCUCGGAGCAGGUGCAGUCGCUCACGCCUGUGAUCCUAGUCAGGAGACCGAGGCAGGAGGAUGCAAUUUUGAGGCCAGCCUCAGCAACUUCGUAAGCCCCUGACUCAAAAUAAAAGAAUAAAAAGGGCUGGGGAUGUGGUUCAGUGGUAGAACACCCCUGGUGUUCAAUUUCUGGUACCAAAAAAAAAAAAAAAAGACUCUUCCUAAGGUACAGGGCUGAUGUGAGGAUCAAACGGAAUCAUGCACAGUAAAAAUUCCAUGGUGCUGUUUUACUGGCAGCACUCCACAGUGGAAUCGGAAAUUCAUAAAUAGAAGCUGGGAAUCAGGCUUUAAGGACACUCCAAACAAGUGAGCGACUGCAAAGGCGGG
rnacentral:lncRNA from 1 species